rnacentral:rRNA from 1 species
GCAGCAGGCACGCAAAUUACCCACUCCCGGCACGGGGAGGUAGUGACAAAAAAUAACGAUACGGGACUCUUUUGAGGCCCCGUAAUCGGAAUGAGUACACUUUAAAUCCUUUAACAAGGAUCCAUUGGAGGGCAAGUCUGGUGCCAGCAGCCGCGGUAAUUCCAGCUCCAAUAGCGUAUAUUAAAGUUGUUGCGGUUAAAAAGCUCGUAGUUGGUUCUGCGUGCUACGCUGCCGGUUCGCCGCCUGCCGGUGUAACUGGCAUGUCGUGGCAUGUCCUGUCGGUGGCGAAUGGGAGCCUUGUCUAGGAGACGGCCCAGGUCAAAAGCUUGGUGCCGUAGGCCGGAGGUCAAACCCGUUCGCCUACUCUAUCCUACCUAGGUGCUCUUAAACGAGUGUCGAGGUAGGCCGACACGUUUACUUUGAACAAAUUAGAGUGCUCAAAGCAGGCUGAAAUCUCUGCCUGAAUAGUGGUGCAUGGAAUAAUAAAACAGGACCUUGGUUCUAUUUUGUUGGUUCUUAAGAACACAAGGUAAUGAUCAAUACGGACAGGCGGGGGCAUUCGUAUUGCGACGUUAGAGGUGAAAUUCUUGGAUCGUCGCAAGACGCACAAGAGCGAAAGCAUUUGCCAAGUAUGUCUUGAUUGAUCAAGAACGAAAGUUAGAGGUUCGAAGGCGAUCAGAUACCGCCCUAGUUCUAACCAUAAACGAUGCCAGCCAGCGAUCCGCCGAUGUUCCUCCGAUGACUCGGCGGGGAGCUUCUUCCCGGGAAACCAAAGCUUUUGGGUUCCGGGGGAAGUAUGGUUGCAAAGCUGAAACUUAAAGGAAUUGACGGAAGGGCACCACCAGGAGUGGAGCCUGCGGCUUAAUUUGACUCAACACGGGAAACCUCACCAGGCCAGGACAUUGGAAGGAUUGACAGAUUGAUAGCUCUUUCUUGAUUCAGUGGGUAGUGGUGCAUGGCCGUUCUUAGUUGGUGGAUCGAUUUGUCUGGUUAAUUCCGAUAACGAACGAGACUCUAGCCUAUUAACUAGGCGCUUACCGGUGUCCUCGCCACCGGCGACACUCAUUCUUCUUAAGGGGACAGGCGGCUUACAGCCGCACGAGAUUGAGCAAUAACAGGUCUGUGAUGCCCUUAGAUGUCCUGGGCCGCACGCGCGCUACACUGAAGGAAUCAGCGUGUGCCUCCCUGGCCGAAAGGCCCGGGUAAUCCGCUGAACCUCCUGCGUGCUAGGAAUUGGGGCUUGCAAUUGUUCCCCAUGAACGAGGAAUUCCCAGUAAGCGCGAGUCAUAAGCUCGCGUUGAUUACGUCCCUGCCCUUUGUACACACCGCCCGUCGCUACUACCGAUUGAAUGAUUUAGUGAGGUCUUCGGACUGGCGGUAAUCCUACUGAUUCGUUAGUAUCGAUGAACGCUGGAAAGAUGACCAAACUUGAUCAUU